GACGAACGCUGGCGGCGUGCUUAACACAUGCAAGUCGAACGGAAAGGCCCUGCUUUUGUGGGGUGCUCGAGUGGCGAACGGGUGAGUAACACGUGAGUAACCUGCCCUUGACUUUGGGAUAACUUCAGGAAACUGGGGCUAAUACCGGAUAGGAGCUCCUGCUGCAUGGUGGGGGUUGGAAAGUUUCGGCGGUUGGGGAUGGACUCGCGGCUUAUCAGCUUGUUGGUGGGGUAGUGGCUUACCAAGGCUUUGACGGGUAGCCGGCCUGAGAGGGUGACCGGGCACAUUGGGACUGAGGAUACGGCCAGACUCCUACGGGAGGCAGCAGUGGGGAAUAUUGCACAAUGGGCGGAAGCCUGAUGCAGCAACGCCGCGUGCGGGAUGACGGCCUUCGGGUUGUAAACCGCUUUCGCCUGUGACGAAGCGUGAGUGACGGUAAUGGGUAAAGAAGCACCGGCUAACUACGUG
rnacentral:rRNA from 1 species